AGCAGCCGCGGUAAUUCCAGCUCCAAUAGCGUAUAUUAAAGUUGUUGCAGUUAAAAAGCUCGUAGUUGAAUUUCGGGGUUAGUAGGUUGGUCAUGCCUCUGGUAUGUACUGGUCUCACUGAUUCCUCCUUCCUGAUGAGCCGUAAUGCCAUUAAUUUGGUGUUGCGGGGAAUUUGGACUGUUACUUUGAAAAAUUGAGUGUUUAAAGCAAGCUAACGCUUGAAUACAUUAGCAUGGAAUAAUGAAAUAGGACGUUCGAUCCUAUUUUGUUGGUUUCUAGGAUUGACGUAAUGAUUAAUAGGGAUAGUUGGGGGCAUUAGUAUUCAAUUGUCAGAGGUGAAAUUCUUGGAUUUAUUGAAGACUAACUACUGCGUAAAGCAUUUGCCAAGGAUGUUUUCAUUAAUCAAGAACGAAAGUUAGGGGAUCGAAGACGAUCAGAUACCGUCGUAGUCUUAACCAUAAACUAUGCCGACUAGGGAUCGGAUGACGUUAAUUUUAAUGACUCAUUCGGCGCCUUAACC
rnacentral:misc_RNA from 1 species